rnacentral:rRNA from 1 species
AGAGUUUGAUCCUGGCUCAGGAUGAACGCUGGCGGUCUGCUUAACACAUGCAAGUCGAACGGAGUACUUCGGUACUUAGUGGCGGACGGGUGAGUAACGCGUGAGGAUCUGCCCUCAGGAGGGGGACAACGACUGGAAACGGUCGCUAAUACCCCAUAUGCCGAGAGGUGAAAUGUUUUUUCGCCUGAGGAUGAGCUCGCGUCAGAUUAGCUAGUUGGUGGGGUAACGGCCUACCAAGGCGACGAUCUGUAGCUGGUCUGAGAGGAUGAUCAGCCACACUGGGACUGAGACACGGCCCAGACUCCUACGGGAGGCAGCAGUGGGGAAUUUUCCGCAAUGGGCGAAAGCCUGACGGAGCAAGACCGCGUGAGGGAUGACGGCCUAAUGGUUGUAAACCUCUUUUCUCUGGGAAGAUAAUGACGGUACCAGAGGAAUAAGCCUCGGCUAACUCCGUGCCAGCAGCCGCGGUGAUACGGAGGAGGCAAGCGUUAUCCGGAAUUAUUGGGCGUAAAGCGUCCGUAGGUGGUUAAUCAAGUCAGCUGUUAAAGAGCGGAGCUCAACUCCGUUAGAGCGGUUGAAACUGAUUGACUAGAGUUUGGUAGGGGUCGAGGGAAUUCCCAGUGUAGCGGUGAAAUGCGUAGAUACUGGGAAGAACACCGGUGGCGAAAGCGCUCGACUGGGCCUGAACUGACACUGAGGGACGAAAGCUAGGGGAGCGAAAGGGAUUAGAUACCCCUGUAGUCCUAGCCGUAAACGAUGGAUACUAGGUGUUGCUCGUUAUCGACCCGAGCCGUGCCGAAGC